rnacentral:rRNA from 1 species
UACAGAGGGUGCGAGCGUUAAUCGGAAUUACUGGGCGUAAAGGGCGCGUAGGUGGAUUGGUAAGUCGUAUGUGAAAGGCCCGGGCUUAACCUGGGAAUUGCAUGUGAUACUGUUGGUCUAGAGUAGGGUAGAGGGAAGUGGAAUUUCCGGUGUAGCGGUGAAAUGCGUAGAUAUCGGAAGGAACAUCGGUGGCGAAGGCGGCUUCCUGGACUCAUACUGACGCUGAAGCGCGAAAGCGUGGGGAGCAAACAGG